rnacentral:lncRNA from 1 species
UAGGGUGUGGGGUUUUCCUUCUAAAAAAAGUUCCCGUACACAAAAUUUCCUUUCAAAAUUUUUCGACAAAAAGUUUCUCGCCAAAAGUUUUUGACAAAAAUUUCCCGCCAAAAUAUUUUCCGCCAAAAAAAUUUCAACAAAAGUUUUCCCGCCAAAUUGUUUUUGACAGAAAUAAUACAAGAAAUUUUGACACAAAAAUUGAC